rnacentral:rRNA from 1 species
GACGAACGCUGGCGGCGUGCCUAAUACAUGCAAGUCGAACGAACUCUGGUAUUGAUUGGUGCUUGCAUCAUGAUUUACAUUUGAGUGAGUGGCGAACUGGUGAGUAACACGUGGGAAACCUGCCCAGAAGCGGGGGAUAACACCUGGAAACAGAUGCUAAUACCGCAUAACAACUUGGACCGCAUGGUCCGAGCUUGAAAGAUGGCUUCGGCUAUCACUUUUGGAUGGUCCCGCGGCGUAUUAGCUAGAUGGUGGGGUAACGGCUCACCAUGGCAAUGAUACGUAGCCGACCUGAGAGGGUAAUCGGCCACAUUGGGACUGAGACACGGCCCAAACUCCUACGGGAGGCAGCAGUAGGGAAUCUUCCACAAUGGACGAAAGUCUGAUGGAGCAACGCCGCGUGAGUGAAGAAGGGUUUCGGCUCGUAAAACUCUGUUGUUAAAGAAGAACAUAUCUGAGAGUAACUGUUCAGGUAUUGACGGUAUUUAACCAGAAAGCCACGGCUAACUACGUGCCAGCAGCCGCGGUAAUACGUAGGUGGCAAGCGUUGUCCGGAUUUAUUGGGCGUAAAGCGAGCGCAGGCGGUUUUUUAAGUCUGAUGUGAAAGCCUUCGGCUCAACCGAAGAAGUGCAUCGGAAACUGGGAAACUUGAGUGCAGAAGAGGACAGUGGAACUCCAUGUGUAGCGGUGAAAUGCGUAGAUAUAUGGAAGAACACCAGUGGCGAAGGCGGCUGUCUGGUCUGUAACUGACGCUGAGGCUCGAAAGUAUGGGUAGCAAACAGGAUUAGAUACCCUGGUAGUCCAUACCGUAAACGAUGAAUGCUAAGUGUUGGAGGGUUUCCGCCCUUCAGUGCUGCAGCUAACGCAUUAAGCAUUCCGCCUGGGGAGUACGGCCGCAGGGCUGAAACUCAAAGGAAUUGACGGGGGCCCGCACAAGCGGUGGAGCAUGUGGUUUAAUUCGAAGCUACGCGAAGAACCUUACCAGGUCUUGACAUACUAUGCAAAUCUAAGAGAUUAGACGUUCCCUUCGGGGACAUGGAUACAGGUGGUGCAUGGUUGUCGUCAGCUCGUGUCGUGAGAUGUUGGGUUAAGUCCCGCAACGAGCGCAACCCUUAUUAUCAGUUGCCAGCAUUAAGUUGGGCACUCUGGUGAGACUGCCGGUGACAAACCGGAGGAAGGUGGGGAUGACGUCAAAUCAUCAUGCCCCUUAUGACCUGGGCUUCACACGUGCUACAAUGGAUGGUACAACGAGUUGCGAACUCGCGAGAGUAAGCUAAUCUCUUAAAGCCAUUCUCAGUUCGGAUUGUAGGCUGCAACUCGCCUACAUGAAGUCGGAAUCGCUAGUAAUCGCGGAUCAGCAUGCCGCGGUGAAUACGUUCCCGGGCCUUGUACACACCGCCCGUCACACCAUGAGAGUUUGCAACACCCAAAGUCGGUGGGGUAACCUUUUAGGAACCAGCCGCCUAAGGUGGGACAGAUGAUUAGGGUGAAGUCGUAACAAGGUAGCCGUAG